CUUCUUCCUCCUCUUCAGCCCAUUCAGCAUGAAAACAACAAGGAUGAAGACCUUAUCAUGAUCCACUUCCACCUAAGGAUGACUAUGGCUCCAAGGCAGGAACCGAAAAUUAUAUCUGCUCAGAUAGGGAACACAGCAGUCUGUACCCACUCU